rnacentral:rRNA from 1 species
UACAGAGGGUGCAAGCGUUGUUCGGAAUUAUUGGGCGUAAAGCGCGUGUAGGCGGCUUUGCAAGUCGGGUGUGAAAGCCCUCAGCUCAACUGAGGAAGUGCGCCCGAAACUGCAGAGCUUGAGUACCGGAGAGGAUGGCGGAAUUCCCGAAGUAGAGGUGAAAUUCGUAGAGAUCAUGAGGAAGACCAGUGGCGAAGGCGGGUCUCUGGACAGUUCCUGACACUGAGACACGAAGGCCAGGGGAGCAAACGGG